UGCGAGCGUUAAUCGGAAUUACUGGGCGUAAAGCGUGCGUAGACGGUAGCGUAAGUCAGAUGUGAAAGCCCCGGGCUCAACCUGGGAAUUGCAUUUGAGACUGCUCUGCUCGGGUGCGGAAGAGGGAAGCGGAAUUUCCGGUGUAGCGGUGAAAUGCGUAGAUAUCAGGAGGAACACCGGUGGCGAAGGCGGGUCUCUGGGCCAUAACUGACGCUGAGGAGCGAAAGCGUGGGGAGCGAACAGG
rnacentral:rRNA from 1 species